AGCUUCCAGGACUGAGCGCCAAUCCGGAAGUCCUCAAGUCAGAAACCCACAAGAAAAGAAAGACAGGUUUCCAAUGACAGACAAAAGAUUUCAAAAAAAGGUUUUGACACAACUUUUAGAAAUAAAAGAUGAACUGCGAAGAAUAGGGAAAAUUGUGGAACCAGAAACUGGGUUCCACAUGUCAACCUUGGGCACUAAAGAUGAGUUCGAG